rnacentral:rRNA from 1 species
AUUGAACGCUGGCGGCAUGCCUUACACAUGCAAGUCGAACGGUAACAGGUCUUCGGAUGCUGACGAGUGGCGAACGGGUGAGUAAUACAUCGGAACGUGCCCGAUCGUGGGGGAUAACGAGGCGAAAGCUUUGCUAAUACCGCAUACGAUCUACGGAUGAAAGCGGGGGAUCUUCGGACCUCGCGCGGACGGAGCGGCCGAUGGCAGAUUAGGUAGUUGGUGGGAUAAAAGCUUACCAAGCCGACGAUCUGUAGCUGGUCUGAGAGGAUGAUCAGCCACACUGGGACUGAGACACGACCCAGACUCCUACGGGAGGCAGCAGUGGGGAAUUUUGGACAAUGGGCGAAAGCCUGAUCCAGCCAUGCCGCGUGCAGGAUGAAGGCCUUCGGGUUGUAAACUGCUUUUGUACGGAACGAAAAGCCUCUUUCUAAUAAAGAGGGGUCAUGACGGUACCGUAAGAAUAAGCACCGGCUAACUACGUG